AUCCUUACCUGACAGGGGAGAUACUAUGGUCACAAAGGUGGUUUUCCCAGGGUGAGAUUGAUCCAUUGCACUGGGGAUCUGCUGACCCUUGGGAUUUCCCCACAUGGGGGAAACUUGACUACAGGAUUUGUGUUGUGGGGCAGUUGCAUA
rnacentral:snRNA from 1 species